UUAUUGCGCGAUCGCCUUGAGUUGAUCAUGGCUCAGAGUGAACGCUGGCGGCGUGCUUAACACAUGCAAGUCGAACGCGAAAGGGUAGCAAUAUCCGAGUAGAGUGGCGAACGGGUGAGUAACAUGUGAGUAAUCUGCCUUGGAGAGGGGGAUAACCUGGCGAAAGCUGGGCUAAUACCCCAUGAAGUUUGGUUGUUUUCGGACGAGCAAACGAAAGGAUGGCCUCUAUUUAUAAGCUAUCGCUUGGAGAGGAGCUCACAUCCUAUCACGCUUGUUGGUGAGGUAAAGGCUCACCAAGGCGACGACGGGUAGCCGGCCUGAGAGGGUGUCCGGCCACACUGGAACUGAGAUACGGUCCAGACUCCUACGGGAGGCAGCAGUGGGGAAUUUUUCGCAAUGGGCGCAAGCCUGACGAAGCAACGCCGCGUGGAGGAUGAAGGCCCUAGCGGUUGUAAACUCCUGUCUAGCGGGACGAAGGUAGAGGUUGCAAAUAGCGAUCUGUAUUAACUGUACCGCUGGAGGAAGCUCCGGCUAACUCCGUGCCAGCAGCCGCGGUAAUACGGAGGGAGCAAGCGUUACUCGGAAUUAUUGGGCGUAAAGGGCGCGUAGGCGAUUUGACAAGUCGGUUGUGAAAGCCCAGGGCCUAACCCUGGAAGUGCAACCGAGACUGUUAAAUUUGAGUACAGGAGAGGAAGGCAGAAUUCCCGGUGUAGCGGUGAAAUGC
rnacentral:rRNA from 1 species